GGGGAAUAUUGCACAAUGGGGGAAACCCUGAUGCAGCGACGCCGCGUGAGUGAAGAAGUAUUUCGGUAUGUAAAGCUCUAUCAGCAGGGACGAUAAUGACGGUACCUGACUAAGAAGCCCCGGCUAACUACGUGCCAGCAGCCGCGGUAAUACAUAGGGGGCAAGCGUUAUCCGGAUUUACUGGGUGUAAAGGGAGCGUAGACGGUAAUGUAAGUCAGAUGUGAAAACCCAGGGCUCAACCCUGGGACUGCAUUUGAAACUAUGUUACUAGAGUGCAGGAGAGGUAAGUGGAAUUCCUAGUGUAGCGGUGAAAUGCGUAGAUAUUAGGAGGAACACCAGUGGCGAAGGCGGCUUACUGGACUGUAACUGACGUUGAGGCUCGAAAGCGUGGGGAGCAAAC
rnacentral:rRNA from 1 species